GUCGGUAUCGAUUAGGGGUUAAAUCACCUCGUUGUGGCCAGGCCAAUCCGAGGAGCCGCUGGUUCGAUUCCAGCUACCGACA